GCUUGUCUCAAAGAUUAAGCCAUGCAUGUCUAAGUGUAAAUAAGUCUAUACUGUGAAACUGCGAAUGGCUCAUUAAAUCAGUUAUCGUUUAUUUGAUGAUCUCUUACUACUUGGAUAACCGUAGUAAUUCUAGAGCUAAUACAUGCAUCAAACCCCGACUUCUGGAAGGGGUGUAUUUAUUAGAUGGAAACCAAUGCAGGGCAACCUGGAAUAUGGUGAUUCAUAAUAACUCGCGGAUCGGUUUACCGAUGCAUCAUUCAAGUUUCUGCCCUAUCAGCUUUGGAUGGUAGGAUAGAGGCCUACCAUGGUGGUAACGGGUGACGGAGGAUUAGGGUUCGAUUCCGGAGAGGGAGCCUGAGAAACGGCUACCACAUCCAAGGAAGGCAGCAGG
rnacentral:rRNA from 1 species